rnacentral:rRNA from 1 species
AACGAACGCUGGCGGCAGGCUUAACACAUGCAAGUCGAACGCUCACCUUCGGGUGGGGGUGGCAGACGGGUGAGUAACGCGUGGGAACGUACCCUUUGGUUCGGAAUAACCCAGGGAAACUUGGGCUAAUACCGGAUACGCCCUUCGGGGGAAAGGUUUACUGCCGAAGGAUCGGCCCGCGUCGGAUUAGCUAGUUGGUGGGGUAAAAGCCUACCAAGGCGACGAUCCGUAGCUGGUCUGAGAGGAUGAUCAGCCACACUGGGACUGAGACACGGCCCAGACUCCUACGGGAGGCAGCAGUGGGGAAUAUUGGACAAUGGGCGCAAGCCUGAUCCAGCCAUGCCGCGUGAGUGAAGAAGGCCUUAGGGUUGUAAAGCUCUUUCAGCGGGGAAGAUAAUGACGGUACCCGCAGAAGAAGCCCCGGCUAACUUCGUGCCAGCAGCCGCGGUAAUACGAAGGGGGCUAGCGUUGUUCGGAAUUACUGGGCGUAUAGCGCGCGUAGGCGGGUGAUUAAGUCAGGGGUGAAAUGCCGAGGCUCAACCUCGGAACUGCCUUUGAUACUGGUCGCCUGGAGUUCGGGAGAGGUAAGUGGAAUUCCGAGUGUAGAGGUGAAAUUCGUAAAUAUUCGGAGGAACACCAGAAGCGAAGGCGGCU